rnacentral:rRNA from 1 species
AUUGAACGCUGGCGGCAGGCCUAACACAUGCAAGUCGAGCGGAUGAAGAGAGCUUGCUCUCUGAUUUAGCGGCGGACGGGUGAGUAAUGCCUAGGAAUCUGCCUGGUAGUGGGGGAUAACGUCCGGAAACGGGCGCUAAUACCGCAUACGCCCUACGGGAGAAAGCAGGGGACCUUCGGGCCUUGCGCUAUCAGAUGAGCCUAGGUCGGAUUAGCUAGUUGGUGAGGUAAUGGCUCACCAAGGCUACGAUCCGUAACUGGUCUGAGAGGAUGAUCAGUCACACUGGAACUGAGACACGGUCCAGACUCCUACGGGAGGCAGCAGUGGGGAAUAUUGGACAAUGGGCGAAAGCCUGAUCCAGCCAUGCCGCGUGUGUGAAGAAGGUCUUCGGAUUGUAAAGCACUUUAAGUUGGGAGGAAGGGCAGUAAGUUAAUACCUUGCUGUUUUGACGUUACCGACAGAAUAAGCACCGGCUAACUUCGUGCCAGCAGCCGCGGUAAUAC